AUAUUCUAUAUUUACAUAUUAUAAAGCAAAUUUGAAACAAAUUUCUCCAAAAUAAUGGGUCAUUGUAGUGUCCCAAGAUACAAAGUCAAAUUUCCAAAAGCUUCAAGGAAACGUUCGCUUUUUCUUAUAUUCUUAAAAAUCCAAAAGAAGUCGCAAGAUGAAAAGAAUGACCAUUCUGUAUGUGAAAAUCAUUUUGAAUCUUAAUUCCUUCACCAUAAUUGUUCAAGCAAAAAGUAUGUAAAUAAUUAAGUAAAUAUAAGUAGAAACAUUACAAUAUUUGACUCAUUCACGAGAGAACAGGUAAGGAUUCUCCAAAAUGAUUGAAAUAGUAAUACCUCUAGCGGACUAUGAAAGUAAACUUUGACCAAGAUAUUUUUCUCGCUAAUAAUGACUUAAGGUGAUAAUUUUGGUAAGAAUAAAAAAGCGUGCGAGGAGAAGAGAAGAAAUACCUAUGGCAUCAUUGAUUAAAUAAUAUACAUCUUCUAUCAAUCAAGAACGUUAUUAUUCAAUAUUAAUAUAAUAUUAGAUGGGGAUAGUCGAUAGAGAAAUGAAUCAAAUGCCUAAAAUAACGUCGCCUUCUGUCUGGAUUUCUGAAAAUGGGAGGCCCAGGAAUUUGGAAAGUACUUGCCGGAUGAGAAACAGAUGGUUUGUCGGAUUUGUCGAUAUAAAUGUGCCUUUAGUCCCCAGUCUAGAAUUACACACCACUCAUAUAAAGAGGAUGGAUAUUCAUCUAAAAAAUCAAGUUAAUGAUGAAUACAUCAAGUCAGACUUUAACUCUGAUCUCAUAAUAAUGCUUAUUACAUGUAUAUACCCUUACAUUGCUAAUCAUCUACGUUCAAAAAAUUUAUGGAGAAAUACACGGGUAAAUUCUUUCUUUCCCGAGGAACCAUCAUUCAAUUAAUGGAGGAUGUUGGUACUGAUGUCAUAUAUAGAAAUACAUGUAAAAAUGUUUUGAGCCAUCCACAACAAAUGACGAUCAAGUCAUCAGUAAAAAGUAAAAAAUAUUUACUAAUUUCGAAAUGAAACUCUGAAUUUUGUACUAUCUAACACUAAACAUAUCAAGAAUUAUGAUACACAACUGCUUAAAUGGUUCCAACAACUGGGGUAGUAGCUUGGAUGGUUCGCAACUAGUUUGUCUGAAACAUUAUUAAUGACGUUAGCCUGAGAAAAUAGUAUGGUCAGUAUUUUUUCAGUAGGUGUCGCUUUUCCUAUGAAUUCAUUCAUUUAUUAAUACUGAAGAUGGUUACACGUGUUUUUUUGUUGAUCAUUAUCUUAUAUUAUAUCAUUCUAGUAUUUAAAAUGUUAUAUAUUUAGUUUAUUAUAUUACUAAAACUAUUACUAUUAUUUAAAAAAAAUAUGGAGACCAGUUGUUAAUUUAAUUAAAUCGGAACUUCAUUUUAGUGGCAGCAUCUAUCAUGAUGAUCUGUUAUUAAUAAAUUAAUACUGACUCUUAAA
rnacentral:lncRNA from 1 species